rnacentral:rRNA from 1 species
GAAUUUCGGACACAGGGGGAAACCCUGAUCCAGCCAUCCCGCGCGUAAGAUGAAGGCCUUCGGGUUGUAAAGUACUUUUGGCAGAGAAGAAAAGGUAACUCCUAAUACAAGAUACUGCUGACGGUAUCUGCACAAUAAGCACCGGCUAACUACGUGCCAGCAGCCGCGGUAAUACGUAGGGUGCAAGCGUUAAUCGGAAUUACUGGGCGUAAAGCGUGUGUAGGCGGUUCAGAAAGAAAGAUGUGAAAUGCCAGGGCUCAACCUUGGAACUGCAUUUUUAACUGCCGAGCUAGAGUAUGUCAAAGGGGGGUAGAAUUCCACGUGUAACAGUGAAAUGCGUAGAUAUGUGGAGGAAUACCAAUGGCGAAGGCAGCCCCCUGGGAUAAUACUGACGCUCAGACACGAAAGCGUGGGGAGCAAACAG